rnacentral:rRNA from 1 species
UGGGGAAUCUUGCGCAAUGGGCGAAAGCCUGACGCAGCCAUGCCGCGUGAAUGAUGAAGGUCUUAGGAUUGUAAAAUUCUUUCACCGGGGACGAUAAUGACGGUACCCGGAGAAGAAGCCCCGGCUAACUUCGUGCCAGCAGCCGCGGUAAUACGAAGGGGGCUAGCGUUGCUCGGAAUUACUGGGCGUAAAGGGAGCGUAGGCGGACAUUUAAGUCAGGGGUGAAAUCCCGGGGCUCAACCUCGGAAUUGCCUUUGAUACUGGGUGCCUUGAGUGUGAGAGAGGUAUGUGGAACUCCGAGUGUAGAGGUGAAAUUCGUAGAUAUUCGGAAGAACACCAGUGGCGAAGGCGACAUACUGGCUCAUUACUGACGCUGAGGCUCGAAAGCGUGGGGAGCAAACAGGAUUAGAUACCCUGGUAGUCCACGCCGUAAACGAUGAUCGCUAGCUGUCGGGAUGCAUGCAUUUCGGUGACGCAGCUAACGCAUUAAGCAAUCCGCCUGGGGAGUACGGUCGCAAGAUUAAAACUCAAAGGAAUUGACGGGGUCAUAGCUGUUU